GUCUGCUUGUAAAUCCAAGCAGUCUAACCUGCCAAUUGAAUUUUUAAAAGGCCGCGGUAUCCUAACCGUGCGAAGGUAGCAUAAUAAUUUGUCUUUUAAUUGAAGACUAGUAUGAAAGGUUGCACAAAGAACAAACUUUCUCUUUUUAAUAAACUUAAUUUAACUUUUAAGUGAAAAGGCUUAAAUAUUCUAGGGGGACGAUAAGACCCUAUAAAACUUUAUUUAGUAGAAAAAUUUACCAUGAAUUAUUUGUAUAAAUUAAUUUAUAUUUCUAUAAAUUUCAUUGGGGUGAUGGAAGUAUAUAUCUAACUGCUUUUUUUUUUAAAACAACCAUAUUUGAUUUUAAGAUCCUUUUUUUGAUUAUAAAAAAAAGUUACUUUAGGGAUAACAGCGUUAUUUUUUUUAAGAGUCCUUAUCGACAAAAAAGUUUGCGACCUCGAUGUUGAAUUAAAAUUUCCUUAUAGUGCAGCAAUUAUAAAGGAAGGUCUGUUCGACCUUUAAUUUUUUACAUGAUUUGAGUUCAAACCGGCGUAAG
rnacentral:rRNA from 1 species